ensembl:lincRNA
CACCAGUGCUGCUUGCAAAGGAUUCCAUCAGGGACAGUGGCAGAGCUUGGAAGGAACACAUCUGAAUGCUGUCAUCACGUCCUCGGGUCCUAUCUUGUGCACCAGAAAAAGAAUUGUAGAUGUCAUAGCCCACCCAGGCCACCCCACACAUCAACCCAGGAGGGACCAGGCCCCUGUGCCAGACCCCUAGCAAAUGCCUCCACUGCUCCUGCCCUGGCCAGGAGUGUGUCAGCCCAGGAGUGCUUGGGGACCACACAGUCCACUCCUGCCAGUGCAACCCUCACUCCUGGGGCCACCACAGCACAGGACAGCUGCGGUGACAACCCACGGGCCCGCCUGAUCAAAGGGGGGACCAACACCCAGGAGGAACACGGUCAUGUGGCACCCUACCACCGAGACCAGGGCCAUGGGAAAGCAAGCAACAGAAGAUUCCAAGGUCUCCCCAUUCUCCCGAGGCAGACUGAGCGGGCACACAUGGGGAGUAGAGCAAAUGCCAGGUAGGAGGUUAUAGAAGUGGUAAAGAAACUAGACAAGUAGAGAGAGGAAAUGAACCAAAAGCUCACAGAAAUAUCACCCCAACUCCCCAAUGUGGACUCAGGGGAAAUAAGUACAGAAUGAGAUGAGUGGACCAAAAUACUUCAAAACACAAAUGACAAAUUCAGCAAACAUAUAGAAUCCUUAAAAAGCUAUCAGACAGAAAUGCCUGAAACAAAGUACUCUAUAGAAUCCAUAAAUUAGGCCAGGGGUGGUGGCACAUGUCUGUAAUGCCAGCACUCAGGAGGCUGAGGCAGGAGGAUCGUUGCAAGUUCGAGACCAGCCUGGGCUACAAAGUGAGCUCAAGGCCAGUCUGAACUACAUAGCAAGACCCUGUCUCAAAAAGACCAAAAAAAAAAUAAAUAAAUAAAUAGAGUCCAUAAAUUGCAGAAAUGACCAGUGUGAAGACAGAGUAUCUGAAAUUGAGGACAAAAAGGUAAAUUAAGAAUAAGUACUCAAGGGCAG